rnacentral:rRNA from 1 species
AGAGUUUGAUCCUGGCUCAGAUUGAACGCUAGCGGGAUGCUUUACACAUGCAAGUCGAACAGCAGCACGAGAGAGCUUGCUCUCUUGGUGGCGAGUGGCGGACGGGUGAGUAAUAUAUCGGAACGUGCCCAGUAGCGGGGGAUAACUACUCGAAAGAGUGGCUAAUACCGCAUACGCCCUACGGGGGAAAGGGGGGGAUCGCAAGACCUCUCACUAUUGGAGCGGCCGAUAUCGGAUUAGCUAGUUGGUGGGGUAAAGGCUCACCAAGGCAACGAUCCGUAGCUGGUUUGAGAGGACGACCAGCCACACUGGGACUGAGACACGGUCCAGACUCCUACGGGAGGCAGCAGUGGGGAAUUUUGGACAAUGGGGGAAACCCUGAUCCAGCCAUCCCGCGUGUAUGAUGAAGGCCUUCGGGUUGUAAAGUACUUUUGGCAGAGAAGAAAAGGCAUCCCCUAAUACGGGAUGCUGCUGACGGUAUCUGCAGAAUAAGCACCGGCUAACUACGUGCCAGCAGCCGCGGUAAUACGUAGGGUGCAAGCGUUAAUCGGAAUUACUGGGCGUAAAGCGUGUGUAGGCGGUUCGGAAAGAAAGAUGUGAAAUCCCAGGGCUCAACCUUGGAACUGCAUUUUUAACUGCCGAGCUAGAGUAUGUCAGAGGGGGGUAGAAUUCCACGUGUAGCAGUGAAAUGCGUAGAUAUGUGGAGGAAUACCGAUGGCGAAGGCAGCCCCCUGGGAUAAUACUGACGCUCAGACACGAAAGCGUGGGGAGCAAACAGGAUUAGAUACCCUGGUAGUCCACGCCCUAAACGAUGUCAACUAGCUGUUGGGGCCGUUAGGCCUUAGUAGCGCAGCUAACGCGUGAAGUGACCGCCGGG